UACGGGGGAGCAAGCGUUGUUCGGAUUUACUGGGCGUAAAGGGCGCGUAGGCGGCCACCGCAAGUCGACUGUGAAAUCUCCGGGCUUAACCCGGAAAGGUCAGCCGAUACUGCGGGGCUAGAGUGCAGAAGGGGCAACUGGAAUUCUCGGUGUAGCGGUGAAAUGCGUAGAUAAUCGAGAGGAACACCUGCGGCGAAGGCGGGGUUGCU
rnacentral:rRNA from 1 species